UUUAGCUCUGAUUGUCCAAACGCAAUUCUUGUGAAAAAUUCAUUCAAGAAUUGUGUCGUGGACAUCGCGGCUCGA
rfam:Lutzomyia longipalpis Contig23511, whole genome shotgun sequence.